rnacentral:lncRNA from 10 species
GUGAGUGUGAGGGGUUGAGCAUCCCGAGAGGGGAGAGCUGGCUGAGAAACCGACGGGACUGGCCUCCUCACCGCUCCUGGGUUGCCGACCUGAGUCCCUGCUGGCGCAGCUCCGUCCCAGGUCCCUCUGGCCGCAAGAUGGUGGCUGGGCCCGCAGCAAUGACCCGCGCGUCCCGCCCAGUCCCUGCGGCGCCCUAUCUGGAGCUCCCUGGGCAGCUCUGCACGCAGCCCCGAGUGUUUCCCAGAUUGUUCAGGGAUGCCAGGCGGGUCAUCAGGGCAGAAUCCCGACUCGUGUGUGCGUAGGAGGAGCUGUGGCCGGUGGGG